rnacentral:rRNA from 1 species
GACGUAGGGUGCGAGCGUUUGUCCGGAUUUACUGGGCGUAAAGAGCGCGUAGGCGGCUCGUUAAGUGUGAAGUGAAAUCUCCAGGGCUCAACCCGGAAACUGCUUUACAUACUGGCGAGCUAGAGGAAUGCAGAGGUUAGUGGAAUUCCUGGUGUAGCGGUGAAAUGCGUUGAUAUCAGGAGGAACACCCAUGGCGAAGGCAGCUAACUGGGCAUUAUCUGACGCUGAGGCG